CGGGGUGGAGUAAUGUCUGGGAAACGUGCCUGAUGGAGGGGGAUAACUGCUGGAAACGGUAGCUAAUACCGCAUAACGUCGCAAGACCAAAGAGGGGGACCUUCGGGCCUCUUGCCAUCGGAUGUGCCCAGAUGGGAUUAGCUAGUAGGUGGGGUAACGGCUCACCUAGGCGACGAUCCCUAGCUGGCCUGAGAGGAUGACCAGCCACACUGGAACUGAGCACGGUCCAG
rnacentral:rRNA from 1 species